rnacentral:rRNA from 1 species
AUUGAACGCUGGCGGCAUGCUUUACACAUGCAAGUCGAACGGCAGCACGGGCUUCGGCCUGGUGGAGAGUGGCGAACGGGCGAGUGAUAUAUCGGAACGUACCCAGACGCGGGGGAUAACGUAGCGACAGUUACGCUAAUACCCCAUAAGAUCUAUGGAUGAAAGCAGGGGACCGGAAGGCCUUCUGCUCCUGGAGCAGCCGAUAUCUGAUUAGCUAGUUGGUGAGGUAAAGGCUCACCAAGGCGACGAUCAGUAGCUGGUCUGAGAGGACGACCAGCCACACUGGAACUGAGACACGGUCCAGACUCCUACGGGAGGCAGCAGUGGGGAAUUUUGGACAAUGGGCGCAAGCCUGAUCCAGCAAUGCCGCGUGAGUGAAGAAGGCCUUCGGGUUGUAAAGCUCUUUUGUCAGGGAAGAAACGGUAGAGGCUAAUAUCCUUUGCUAAUGACGGUACCUGAAGAAUAAGCACCGGCUAACUACGUG